UGGAGUUUAUUUCUGGGGCACCGAUGGAGUGUUUGGACUUCCCACUGGCCCUUACUCUGUUCCUGUCAUCCGCCCGGGCCGUCGCCGGAGGCUCCGGCAGCCGUAGCCUUUGCUUGCUGCUCCAGGACGCCCAGCCCUUCCCAGAAUACUCUCGGAGCCGUCUGUCAACUCUCAGCGUUGCGGUCCCCGCAGGCUCAGCAGCGCGCUACCUUGUGACGUCACCUAGAGAGGCGGACUCAGCCUGCCGCCAGAAGAUGUCCUCUUUUCUGAUUGGCUAACGAAGACGUCUGUCAAGACGCGUUGCUCUUUUGGUGAUCGCUGAGUGUGGCGUCCUUGUAGGGUGUGAGGCCGAGGCUCCUAGCCGGUUCGCAGCGCGCCCGCCCUUUCCAUCGGGGGCUCGGCUUCGGCUCGUCCCAGGCGGGCGGCUGUCGAAUCCGGAGGAGGAGCUCGAGGACGGCGGCCCGCGUUGCGCAGGCGGGAAGAUGGCGGCGGCCUCGGUCUCGGCGGCUUCGGAGUCUCAUUUUUCGAACAUCCUAGCUGAACCAUUGAGGUCUAACAGAAAUAUGGUUCGUCGUUCUUCAUCUCCAUAUGUAUUAUAUCCACCUGAUAAGCCUUUCCUUAAUAGUGAUCUGCGACGCUCCCCAAAUAAGCCCACACUUGCCUAUCCAGAAAGCAACAGCAGAGCCAUAUUUUCUGCUCUUAAGAAUCUUCAAGAUAAGAUUCGACGCUUGGAACUGGAAAGGAUUCAGGCAGAAGAAAGUGUGAAAACCUUGUCUAGGGAAACAAUUGAAUAUAAGAAAGUAUUGGAUGAACAGAUACAAGAGAGAGAGAAUUCAAAGAAUGAAGAAUCAAAGCACAAUCAAGAAUUGACAUCCCAGCUGUUAGCUGCAGAAAAUAAAUGUAGUCUUUUAGAAAAACAAUUGGAAUACAUGAGAAAUAUGAUAAAGCAUGCAGAGAUGGAGAGGACAUCUGUCUUAGAAAAGCAGGUUUCCCUAGAAAGAGAACGGCAACAUGAUCAAACUCACGUUCAGAGCCAGCUGGAAAAACUGGAUCUUCUUGAACAAGAAUACAACAAACUUACCACAAUGCAGGCCCUUGCAGAAAAAAAAAUGCAAGAAUUAGAGUCUAAACUCCGUGAAGAAGAGCAGGAAAGGAAGCGAAUGCAGGCUCAGGCAGCAGAGUUGCAGACUGGUCUAGAAGCAAAUAGACUUAUUUUUGAAGAUAAGACAACUUCAUAUGUUCCAACCAGCACUAGAAAAAUUAAAAAGAAGAAGUCAAAACCACCAGAAAAGAAAGGUUCUAGAAACUAUUUCGGUGCACAGCCACACUACAGAUUGUGCUUAGGUGAUAUGCCCUUUGUUGCUGGAAAGUCCACCAGUCCCAGCCACGCUGUGGUAGCCAACGUUCAGCAUGUCUUGCAUCUGAUGAAGCACCACAGUAAAGCUCUGUGCAAUGAUCGAGUUGUUAACAGUGUUCCCUUGGCAAAGCAAGCUUGUUCACGAGGUAGCAAGAAUAAGAAGUCAGUGACGCCUCCCUCUGGCAGUGUCAGUGAAGAACUGUCAGAUGUCUUACAGACUCUACAGGAUGAAUUUGGGCAAAUGAGCUUCGAUCACCAACAGCUUGCUAAACUCAUCCAGGAGUCACCAACUGUGGAACUGAAGGACAACUUGGAGUGUGAAUUGGAGGCAUUAGUUGGGAGAAUGGAAGCAAAAGCCAACCAGAUAACUAAAGUCCGGAAAUACCAAGCCCAGCUGGAGAAACAGAACACAGAUAAACAGAAAAAGGAAUUAAAACCUAAUAAAAAGACUCUUGAUGAAGAAGGAAACAGCAGUCGUUCAUCUGGAGUCACAAGGACCACAAGUAAGAAGGAUUUUGCCAAACAGAGACCUGGAGAAAAAAGCAGGAAAAAUCUUCAGUUACUGAAAGACAUGCAAACCAUACAGAAUUCAUUGCAGAGCAGUAAUCUGUGUUGGGAUUACUGACACCAGAUCAUAAAUGAUGUAUCUUACUGGACAAUGACAAUAGACUUUCCAGGUUUCAUGCUUGCUAAUGGUGCCAUUACUAGCAGGUGUUAAGGGGCCCAAGCUUCAUUACAUAAUCUCUUGUGUUACGCAGCACAACUAAAUGGAAAUGGAGUUUUACAGCCCGAGAAGCUGUGCUGUCUCUUUGAAUUUGCUGUAUUCAUAUACUGCACUUUGUAAACAAAUGACCAGUUUUUUACUUGUGGGUAUGUUUUUUAAGUAGGAAUAUAUGUAAAUUGGGUUUGAAAAUUCAGAAUAUGAGGCUGUCCCCAUAGUCAGUGCUUGAAAAGUCUCUCGUUUUUAAAUCUUCUCAUAGUGUGAAGUAACCACGACUUUCCCUUCUCCAGAUGUCCAUUAAAUGUAUUGUUUCCAACUACAGAUAGAGGCUUUCUGUAUUUAAGUAUUUAUAUAUUUAAGAGGACUUUGUUUUGUUCUGCUUUUUGGUAUUUCAGAUGUUCAUCAGUAUGAAAUCACUCUUAAAGACUCAAACAUUUUUAAGUUUGCAGCAACAGUGAACUGACACCAGUGAGUCCAUAGACCCCAGGAAGGUGAGAAAACUGCUGAUGACAUGGUAAAUACUACAUCUCAACCACACUUCAGCUACUCCACUUGUGUUAACUUCUUGAAUAUCAGGACAUUAAACUGUCUGUCAUGUGAGUGGUAAUGGCUCCAACUCCUAAUUAGAAUAGUAAUUGACAGAUGCUAUCUUACCUGUCUCCAGCUGGAUCCAAACUGUAGGGCUUUGGGUUUUGAUCUUGUUCGCUCACUCACAGAAGAGCUCCCCUGUACUCGGUACAAGAUGCCAACAUGGAUCCCAUGCUGAGCAAGAAAGAAGUGCCAGGAAUGUGGUUGGAUUCCACAAGAAAUGCUUUUAGUGUGUACACACCACACUGAAGAUUUCUUGGAGGUCACAGAAGACAUCAGAAGGUUUUGAAGGGAAACGUGAUACGAGUUUCACUUAUAUUCCUCUGGUUUUUGAGUGAUUGUAUAAUCAGCUUUAAUGUUUGAAUCCCAUCUGCAUACCUUCGUGCCAUAUCAAGACGAUAAAAGUUUCAAUGAGGAAAAUAGACUAGAAAUGAAAGUGUGAACUACUAUAGAAAUCUUACUUGAAUACUGGUUAGUAAGAAAUACCUUAAAAAUUUUCUUAUGACUAAUUUUAUAUCAAACUAAAGCAUUUGGUACCAAUUUUGUUAAUACUGGGUUAUGUUGGGGAUAGCUCAGUAGUAUAGCACUUGCCUGGCAAGUGUGAGGCUCUAGGUUCAAUGUCCAGACAAGCACAAAUAAAAGAGGAAUGGGGA